UACAGAGGUCUCAAGCGUUGUUCGGAUUCAUUGGGCGUAAAGGGCGUGUAGGCGGUUGGUCAAGUCCGAUGUGAAAGCCCGGGGCUCAGCUUCGGAAGUGCAUCGGAAACUAGCCAGCUGGAGCGCGAUAGAGGAGGGCGGAAUUCCUGGUGUAGCGGUGAAAUGCGUAGAUAUCAGGAGGAACACCGGCGGCGAAGGCGGCCCUCUGGGCCGGUACUGACACUGAGGAGCGAAAGCGUGGGUAGCAAACAGG
rnacentral:rRNA from 1 species